GCCAACGCCUGCCUCCACUGUGCAGACUCCUUACCUUACAUAAGUCAGGGCCUGAAGACACAUCUGGAAAUCAACUCGUCCAACAUCAGACCUCAUAGUGCCCAUGGCAAAAGGCUUCACAAAUGGACCACACGCUGUACAUCAAUUUGCGUCUGCUGACGUCUAGCCGCACCACAUGCCGACCUCUGGGCCUGGCAGCACAUUGGCCUGUCUGUGAACUGAGGACAGCGUCUGUCUGUGAGGUGGGCCCGGCUGGCACUGUACAGAGUGAUCCAGACUGGAGGAGUCACGAGCCCAUCCGUUCACCCGACUGUGACUGCUGUGUGCUGAGACUCUUUUCUGUGGUACGUCACGCCGUGUUGAAUUUUGGGUGACAUUGACACCCCCAUGCUGUGAGGCUCCUGCUGCUGCUUGUAAGAAGUGACUGCAGAGCCCGGCGGAGUAGAAAGCACGAGCAGAAGAUGGCGUUACAGGUAAGUGUUAGCAUGUGCAUGUAGCACACUUACAGUAAUUACAGUGGGGGUGGAGGGUACGAUAUGAAACAACAGAUGCCGUGAAACAUUAGUCAAGCUAAAAGUAAUCAAUAGUAAGUACUGUAGCCACUGACUUGAGAAGUUUUUACUUGGCAGACAAUUAUUUCCAUAUUUAUGUUUUAAAAUGUUUG